rnacentral:misc_RNA from 1 species
GUUGUAUAUUAACUUUGUAGGCAACAAAAAUUAAUUAGUUGUAAAAUUUCUACUACUAAUUUUAACAUUUGUUAAAUGAAAUUAGAAUUAAGGAAGUGAACUUAAUUCUCGCUUGCAUAAACUGAGAUUCAUAUUUUUCAGACCAACCAUGAAGGAGAGCCAACCCUACUACAGGCCCCAAUACAGCAAGCUAAGAUCAGCUAAACUAUAAAACAGGGAAACAAAAAACAACAGAAACGAAUGUGAUGGCUCAAUAGCUCUAUUGUUACAAAGACAAGGGGAAAAGAAAACUUUGAUUUCAAACAAAUAAGCUGUCAUUGUGUGACCGCAUUAGAUUAAUUUGAGAAAAUGUCCACCUAAUAAUAUGCUAUGAUGUCUCAAUUGCAACCUUUCCUGAAUACCUUACACCUUCAGUCUUCUCACUAGCCUCCCACAGCUCCGGCAGUGCUUCCUUGAUAUUGUGGAUGCUCUCAAGUGCAUAGUCUACACCUUCAGUGCGAUGGGAAGAGCCUACCUGUACUCACAUCAGGAAGAGUUGAUUGUCAAGGCAAAAAUUCUGCUGAAGCCUGAAGGUACAAUUAUGUUCAUGGUUUGAUAAAGUUAACUUACCCACACAGUGUUGAGGCCCAGCUGUUUCCCAGUCUGUAAAUUACGGAUGCUGUCAUCGAAGAACAACUGGAAAGCAAUAAAUGACAAUGUCAAUAAAAGAUAAAAGAGACUAUCUGAGGACCCAGUGACCAAGAAAUUAAUUAUAGUUGUUCAAGUUAAUGACGCAUGAGGAACUGGAUAAUCGGAGAUCAUAAUCAGAACGAACCCACACUUUGAAAACAAUUGUGAUGAUAUGCAAAUGCUAUAUUACCAUAGAUUGAAGCAGUUAAAAGCCAAGACAAUUCUGAACCCAAUCACAGAUCGUAAUAAGAAUAAAUAUCUUACCGUUCUUUGAGGGUUGAUGCAGGCAAUCUUAAACACCUGGUCAAAUGCCUCUUCAAAUGGUUUGCAGACAACUGGUGACCUUGGAAGUGCAAUACCAGCAUUCGGAGCAGCGCUAUAUUCAUUGAUGUCAAAAACUGCAUUUUCAUCCUCUUCAACGGGAUUAUUUCCUUUGUUAGUGUUAUUCAAGGUCUCAAAGCAUAUAACUCCUUCAAAGCAGUCCUCUAACCCAAGUCUAUUGAGGACCCUCUCAGCAUGAUUCUUAUCAGCAUUGGUGAAAACAACUUUCCGAACAGGCACACUGUGUAAAAGAUUUCUAAGAACAAGGUCAGGCUUUAGGAUAUCAUAGGGUAAUUUUCCAUGAACAAAAUUAUGGAAGUCAUCAUAGUCGAACUUAUACCCAAUAGCCCUGAGACCAGCCAAUGUUGUCCCAUAAUACUUGUACAAGGAAACACACAAUUCCGGGACUUGACUUUCCUCAAUGCGGAGCUUUUGAAUCAUAUACUCUUCAAUAUUCUUGGUGACAUGUUGAGCCAAACCAGAACUGUUAGGAUAGAGCGUCUCAUCUAAAUCAAAAAGGAGACAAUCGUACUUCUCAAGAGCCACUGGUUGGUUCUCUUCAUACUCCAUUUUUAUAUGCAGGCAGAUGGAUCGCAGAACCGCACAAAGACGUAGAGAAAGCGCAAAAGGGAAGAUGCAAGGGAAGAAGUUUAGGAACGAAGUUGGGUUCUAUUAAAUAGAGAGAGGCCGGGCGGUUGAGGGCGCUGCUCGCUUCACAGGGAAAAUAAAUAAUUUUAUUUAAUUUCAAUAAUAAUCAUAGUAAGAGCUAUUGAAUAAUAUAAAAUUAGCUCUAUUUAUAGAGUUUACAACACUAAUCAAUUUAGGAAUAGAAACCCAAUACUAAAUAAGAUAAACUAAG